ACAGGUCACCAGACGGCCGCGGCCUUCGGGCUGAGGAACGUCCGGGCUCCGCAGAGCAGGGAUGGUGGGUAACGCCCACCCGGGGCAACCCGCGGGCAAGUGCAACAGAAAGCAGACCGCCACGCGAGGCGAUGCACAUCGUGUCGCGGGGUAAGGGUGAAACGGUGGUGUAAGAGACCACCAGAGUGCCGGGUGACCGGCGCUGCUGGGUAAACCCCAUCCGGAGCAAGAUCAGACAGACGGCGUUCGAGGCUGCUCGCCGAGCCGUCGGGUGGAUUGCUUGAGGCUGCUGGCAACAGUGGUCCCAGAUAGAUGGCCGUCAGUCGAGAAGGGCAACCGACUCGAUGACAGAACCCGGCGUAUCGGUGGCCUGUCCUC
rnacentral:RNase_P_RNA from 1 species